rnacentral:rRNA from 1 species
CGAAGGGUGCAAGCGUUGCUCGGAAUUAUUGGGCGUAAAGGGUAGGUAGGUGGUAAUAAAAGUCUGGGGUGAAAUCCCUGAGCUCAACUCAGGACGUGCCUUGGAAACUUUAUUACUAGAGUGCUGGAGAGGUUCGCAGAAUUCCCGGUGUAGCGGUGAAAUGCGUAGAGAUCGGGAGGAAUACCAGAGGCGAAGGCGGCGAACUGGACAGUAACUGACACUCAACUACGAAAGCGUGGGUAGCAAACAGGAUUAGAUACCCUGGUAGUCCACGCUGUAAACGAUCGGUACUAGAGUUCGUGGGAGUUGACCCCUGCGGACUCGGAGCUAACGCGAUAAGUACCGCGCCUGGGAAGUACGGUCGCAAGACUA